CAUAAACUAGGGCCGCGGGCCGGUGCCCCGGUCUUCAGCCACCAGUGUGCAGGAGCAGCAGCAGUGGCAAGAGUUGAGCCCAGUCCAGCAAGCUAACGCUACAUGGCGCUAGCUGGCAGCGUCGUGCAGCUUUCAGAGUGCCAAAUCAAGACGCCGCACUCAACCGACUUCCCGCUCGAAGGAACCGUGUCUUUGGAAAGAGGGAUGGUCUCGUGGGGGUCCGAGAAUCCUGACUCCUGACUCCUGACAAUUGAGACGCCCUGAAAACCUCUACAUCAUUAUUUUAGGGGAUCUCUGGAAUUUAUUUAUUUUUGAAAAAUAAUAAUUUCAUGUCCAUUACUCAAUAUUUAUACAAAAAAACCAUUUCAUCAAAAAUAUGAAUAGGCUACAG
ensembl:lncRNA